rnacentral:misc_RNA from 1 species
GAAAUAUCUUAAACCACAUUUGCAGCCUGAUGAAAUUUCAGUGUGGCUGAAGGAGUACACGGAUGGUAGCUUAAAGGCGUUCAAAAAGUCGGAGCCGAUCCCUGAAACUAAUGAUGAACCUGUUAAGGUUGUUGUGGCCGACAACAUUCAUGAUGUGGUCUCUACCUCUGGGAAGAAUGUUCUUAUUGAAUUUUAUGCACCUUGGUGUGGGCAUUGCAAGAAACUAGCGCCUAUCUUAGAUGAAGUAGCUGUCUCAUUUCAAGACGAUGCUGAUGUGAUCAUUGCAAAGAUGGAUGCGACUGCUAACGACCUACCAAAUGAAUUUGAAGUCAAGGGCUACCCUACAUUGUACUUUUCUUCAGCCAGUGGCAAGCUCACCCAAUUCGAUGGCGGUAGGGCAGCAAAAGACAUAAUUGAUUUCAUACAAGCAAAUAGGGAUGGAACCGUUAUAUCUGAUUCCGGUGAAGAGAAGCAGGAGCCGGAGCCCACCAAAG